GAUGAACGCUGGCGGCGUGCCUAAUACAUGCAAGUCGAGCGAACAGACGAGGAGCUUGCUCCUCUGACGUUAGCGGCGGACGGGUGUGUAACACGUGGAUAACCUACCUAUAAGACUGGGAUAACUUCGGGAAACCGGAGCUAAUACCGGAUAAUAUAUUGAACCGCAUGGUUCAAUAGUGAAAGACGGUUUUGCUGUCACUUAUAGAUGGAUCCGCGCCGCAUUAGCUAGUUGGUAAGGUAACGGCUUACCAAGGCAACGAUGCGUAGCCGACCUGAGAGGGUGAUCGGCCACACUGGAACGGAGACACGGUCCAGACUCCUACGGGAGGCAGCAGUAGGGAAUCUUCCGCAAUGGGCGAAAGCCUGACGGAGCAACGCCGCGUGAGUGAUGAAGGUCUUCGGAUCGUAAAACUCUGUUAUUAGGGAAGAACAAAUGUGUAAGUAACUAUGCACGUCUUGACGGUACCUAAUCAGAAAGCCACGGCUAACUACGUG
rnacentral:rRNA from 1 species